rnacentral:miRNA from 1 species
UUGUCCAGUAGCGCCUUAGAGAACAACUAAGUUUGUUCUGGGUAUAAGCUUUUGUGUGCAUGCACACUUCUUCCGAAAGCUUAUAUCCAGAACAAGCUUAGUUGGUCUCUAAGGUGCUACUGGACAA